GGUCUCUUCAGGGAUGACAUCAUCCGUUCACCUCCACGUCUUCGAGGACCGCCUCUCGAUGCCAUGCUGCUGCCAAGGUGCUUGCUGCUCACCUCCGCCUGAUGGUACCUCAGUCCUCCUUCGUGGCUCAACCUGAUGGGCAGAGCCCCCUGCCCCUUCGUGUGCCACGCCGAGGCCCAUGAGCAAUGAAAAGCCCAUUUUAAAUUUUAACUAAUUAGUUUCUGUGGUAAUGAAUUCACUCACAUUUGAAUGACUACCUAGACUUAGGCUUUUAAGUGGGUCCACUAAUCUUUGGUCAAUUGCAGAGGGCACUUGGAGACCCGACCCCUGGAUGGAAGCAGCGUCCAGAGAGACCCCCCACGGCCGCCUCGGGACCAGGGUGCCGAAGGAUGAAGAGGACCAGGACCGACCAGCCAGCUCUCCCUCUUGGCUAAAUGCUCAAACCAGUGCCCUAGUGAGGGGGCACUGGCCGUUAACCUCUGACCUUUGCUAUGCUUAUGCCUUGUUACUAUCUAUUUCCUAGAAGUCUCUGCUUGUGUUAAUGUGCCGGCGACCUGGAGUGUUUCUCCCCCCAAGGAGCCGUGGGGCUUUCUCCCACAGCAGCCCCGUUGUUGUGUUGUGACCUCCUGCAUGGAAGGAUCCCUUCGGGAACUUCUCAGGAGGGGGACCUGGGCCAAGGGCUCGACCAGCGCCUCACUAGAUAUUCCGAGGCCCGCGGUGGGCUUCUGGAAUGAGCAUGAGCCCUGACGCCAUGCUACUCAACUGCCAAGGGCAUCCCCACCUCUCUCUGAGAUCUCCCUAGUCUUUCUGGGGGAAUGGGUCAAGGAGGGUAACCCCUCAGGGUUGUUGUGAGUAUUCAAUGAGACAAAGCAGCCUCGGGCAAGGCCGGGCAUAGAGGAGGUGGCUGGCAAAUGUUUGUUGGAACCGUCUGGUAGGUCAGUCCCUUCCCCCCUCGUCUUGCGCCUCACGCUUCUCGUUUGUUCUCCCACAGCGCUCCAGGCAGCCCCUCCCCACGGGGCUCUCCUUUGCACCAGGCCCGCCAGCUGUGGCCUGGCCGGGUCGGCCGAAGAACCAGACCGUAGAGGCAGGAGAGGCCCCCGGAGGAGCUCCGCCCUGGACCAGCCUUCCUUCCCGGCGGCUGCCUGGCACCCCACGCCCCACGCUGUGCCCCUGCACUCCUUCCUGGAUCGGGUUGAAGCCGCCAUCUGGAAUCCUCCACGAAGAGACCUGGACGUGCGGCCCAGCACCCCCCGGCUGGCCAAUCGGCGGACUAGGAUGGAGGCACCCUUGUGAGCCGGGGGGCCCUUCAAAGGGCCCAGGACAAAACGCGGGCCGAGGGACCAGCCUCUCAGACGGGUUUCGAGCUCCGAUGACCUUCACUCACCCCCUUGAAAUGUCUGGAAAACAGAAUGGGCAGAUUUUCUGUCUUCAAAGUUUCCGGCUAAAUCUCUUCAAGUUCUUUAUUGUUUGAGACUGAGACACUCAGCAAUG
rnacentral:lncRNA from 1 species